rnacentral:lncRNA from 10 species
GCGCGUGGGGGGGGUAGGGUCCCCGCUUCCCCACGCGGCCCCGCGCACUCCAAGGACCCCAACCUGUUAGGUGAGUCCCUGCCCCGGGGAGGGGCGCUGGGGGCGGCGGCGAGGAUCUAGUUGCGCGCGCGCAUGCGCCUCCCGCCCCUCUCCCGGGACACCAGGGCUGCGCGUCUCCCAGGAGGCGCCGACGCCCCUCCCUCUACAGGCGGGAAAACUGAGGCUGCGGAGGGGACGCUCUUGCCCAAGGCCCACGGCGAGGUGGGCCGAGGAAGGGGCGGGACCCCGGCCCCGAGACUCCCAGGCGCCUUUCCAGCAAGCCCAGCGUACUCUGCGUGUCGCGGGCCACUUUAGGUCUAACUGUCGCGCGUGGGUUAGUGUCGCCGCGGUGUGCGCCUCGAGCCGGGCAGCGACCGCGCCGGCGUAUCUGUGCCUCGGCGCGUCUGCGAACGGCACGUGUCUUUACAGCCGCGCGUGUGCCCGCAAGUGGGUGUGCGCGCCGUGCCGCCCGGGAAGCGGGAGGUCCUGCGGGCGUGCGCCGGACCUGUUGUCAGCAGGCCUGGCAGAUGGGAACUCAGCUCCGGAAUUAAUUGCUUGUUUGUCUCCGGCUGGGAGGCCGCCCCCCCGCCCUUCCCUGGCGACCAGUUGCUCUGUGCCUAGCCGGGCCCCAAAUGUCGCCGGCAUCCGCGGCCGCAGGCAGCUCCGGGCCAGGCUCCGGGUCAGCCCCAAAGCCCGGGUCAAGCCAGGCGGGCGCGGCGGGCGGGCUCCCCGUGACGCGAGUGCCCCCUGCCGGCCGCUGCGCACACGGCUCCGAGACUGGGGAGACAGCGCCGCGCGUCCCAGGCCUGAGGCGCACUCGGAAACUCCGAAGGUCGUGACCCGGCGGAGACCAGGACACGCGGCUGCCGGCACAUACGGUGAGGCCUUCGCAGAGACUCAGUACGUCAAAGUGACCCUUUCCGUUUUGCCCACCCCCUUUUACUUGGAUAAGCCUCCCCGCCCACGCACGCACUCCCCAGAAAGUGGGGUGGGUGAUCCCCUCCCGGCUUUCCGGGUCGUUGAUGACCUUAGGGGUUCGAAAACGCAAGGGGGUAUGGAAUAAAGUGGCAGGGGCUCUCCACUCUUUCUGAGAUCCGUAAGCCUGCAGUCGCUUUCCACCCAGCCUGGGGGGCCGGAAGCGCUUCCCCUACCCGUCUCUUCGCAGCCUGGAGAAUGAAAACGGGCGUCAGCCCACAUCUGGAUCUGGGUACUGAGGACAACACCCAAACCCCACCCCGCACUGCCGGCAGACAGCACCGCCUCCCGCCGCUCCACUGCUCCGGGACACACACUCUCUAUAUCCCGUCCCCCCACCCACACACGCAACACAGAAGCACGCAGCGGUCGGGAGCACCGGUCCUGCGCCCCUGGCCAGCCACACCCGCAACUUCAGCGCUUCUACCGCCGCGGCGCUUCGGGAAGCACAAGCUCACAUCCCAUAUCCGCAGAACACGGGGUGCACAAGGCUGGAGUCACCUCGGGGGCUCACGAUCAGUCAGGGGCCCCGACCCCCUACUUCGCCCAUCCUAGCAAGGCGCAAGAAUCACCAUAAACGCUGGAUUUGCUGACCACAUGGCCGAUCGUGACCACCUGCUCUGUACUCACCCAGGCUUCUGGUCAGGAGAGAGGCGGGGAAGAGCUGCCCCCUCCCUGCGUCCACCAUCACUCCUGGCCUGGGAUCAGGGCAAGUUAUAAAGGGGGCCAGAGUCCCCCCUUUCUCUCUGUCCCUCUCCAGGAGGACACUCUGGGGACCACCCACCCUCCUCCCUCCCCCACAGGAAGGGGACUGGGGAAGACUGUCCUCUUCCCCCAUCCUGUCUCAUCCAAGA